rnacentral:lncRNA from 1 species
AAAGGAGGGAGACAGGGACUCAAGGGCCAUGAGCUGCCCCCCACCCCCUCAGCCCCCCACCCCCCCAGGCCCAUGACCUCUGUCUCCUAGAUUGUGCACCAAGACCUCCCAGACAAUCCUUCUGGCUCUGAAACUUUGGGAAAGAAGAUUGACAUCCUGAGGGCAUAGAGCCAAGCCCAUCCACUUGGUUGUUUCCUCAGAGGAGAGGGUGAGGGGGGGUGAGACUAGCUAGAGGGUAGAACUGGACAGAAACUCAAACCCUGGACCCUGUGUGGGUGAAUGUACGCAUCUCUGAGAGAAAGUUUGUCACCCGAAGCUAGCGGUGCAUUCAGAUGUCUUGUCUGUCUCCCCCAACCUUCUCCUCAAUUUCCUCUCCUGUAAAUAACCUCCCCGGGCCUCUCCCGGUCUCUGGGAAGGCCCUGUUGGGUCUGUUCCUGACCUUGGCUUCCUAUAGUUUUUCCUUUACAAACUCCACCCAUCCCUGAGGAAAGGGAAAACAAUCUCUUUGGGUCAGCUUCUGCCACCUGCUGGUUGUUCGUGGUACCUUAGUCCACCCAGCGCCAUGCUAGCCUCGGUUUGUUUGCUUGUUUUCCUUGUGUCUCUGCUGAAUACAGAACGGUUCAAUCUGAUUUCAUCUGUAGGGGUUAGGGCCGCUUCUUUAAAUACAGCUUUGAUGGCUGCGGUUUGGGUCAUCGUCAUGAGAGUUCUUUCUUAUCAUUGUUUCCCUCUGUGCCCGUGUAACUGUCAAAAUAUCGCAAGUGGCUUUUUGUGCCAAAAGAAGGCAUCCUUUGCCAGAGAGGGCCAGGAAAUGAAAUUUAGCACAUAACUCGUUUUCUUGGAGACCGUAUCGUCGUGUUUUCCUUUUUUCUUGUUUAAAAUGGUGAGCGCCAUUUCUGCCUCGGGUCUUCUUGAUUCACGGUUGUGUGAACGGAAGGAGAACAUAGAGGGGCUUUGUGUGACUCAAGAAGAGGAACCAGGAACUCAAGGAACUGAAGUCCCUUCUGUCACUAUUCAAAUUGCCCACGGAUAUCCCCAGGGACAGGGGUGGCUAUCGAAUAAGAGACAGUGAGAUUGACACGAAGGAAAAUGAAAUGGCUAUUUCACUUCGAGGGCCAGAUUGGGUCUCCUGGGGAAGGGUACCCAGCUCACAGAAUGAAGAUGUGCCGUCAGAGCACAGCGUCCGUCUGGUUUCCUGAGGGAUAAAAUAUGGCCAAGGC